rnacentral:rRNA from 1 species
UAUUUUAAAGAGAGUUUGAUCCUGGCUCAGGACGAACGCUGGCGGCGUGCCUAAUACAUGCAAGUCGAACGAACGGAGGAAGAGCUUGCUCUUCCAAUGUUAGUGGCGGACGGGUGAGUAACACGUGGGCAACCUGCCUGUAAGUUGGGGAUAACUCCGGGAAACCGGGGCUAAUACCGAAUGAUAAAGUGUGGCGCAUGCCACGCUUUUGAAAGAUGGUUUCGGCUAUCGCUUACAGAUGGGCCCGCGGUGCAUUAGCUAGUUGGUAGGGUAAUGGCCUACCAAGGCAACGAUGCAUAGCCGACCUGAGAGGGUGAUCGGCCACACUGGGACUGAGACACGGCCCAGACUCCUACGGGAGGCAGCAGUAGGGAAUCUUCCGCAAUGGACGAAAGUCUGACGGAGCAACGCCGCGUGUAUGAAGAAGGUUUUCGGAUCGUAA